rfam:Triticum aestivum genome assembly, contig: Triticum_aestivum_CS42_TGACv1_scaffold_392486_5AS
UCGUGGCACAAACCGGUACUAAAGGGCUAACCUUUAGUACCGGUUCGUGGCACAAACCGGUACUAAAGGUUAGCCCUUUAGUACCGGUUUGUGCCACGAA